UAACACAUGCAAGUCGAACGAGAAAGUGGAGCAAUCCAUGAGUACAGUGGCGUACGGGUGAGUAACACGUGGGUAAUCCANNNCUUAGUGAGGAAUAACCCUGGGAAACCGGGGCUAAUACCGCAUAAGCCUGGAAAGGGAAAGGAGCAAUUCGCUGAGAGAGGAGUCCGCGGCUGAUUAGCUAGUUGGUGAGGUAAUGGCUCACCAAGGCAAUGAUCGGUAGCCGGCCUGAGAGGGCACACGGCCACACUGGCACUGAAACACGGGCCAGACUCCUACGGGAGGCAGCAGUGGGGAAUCUUGCACAAUGGGGGCAACCCUGAUGCAGCGACGCCGCGUGAGCGAUGAAGCCCUUCGGGGUGUAAAGCUCUUUCGACGGGAACGAUAAUGACGGUACCCGGAGAAGAAGCUGCGGCUAACUACGUGCCAGCAGCCGCGGUAAUACGUAGGCAGCAAGCGUUGUUCGGAGUUACUGGGCGUAAAGAGUGCGUAGGCGGUCCUGUAAGUUUGGUGUGAAAUCUCCCGGCUCAACUGGGAGGGUGCGCCGAAGACUGCAGGGCUUGAGUAUGGGAGAGGUAAGCGGAAUUCCUGGUGUAGCGGUGAAAUGCGUAGAUAUCAGGAGGAACACCUGUGGUGUAGACAGCUUACUGGACCAUCACUGACGCUGAGGCACGAAAGCGUGGGUAGCAAACAGGAUUAGAUACCCUGGUAGUCCACGCCCUAAACGAUGCAUACUUGGUGUGAGCCAUUCAUUUGGUUCGUGCCGGAGCUAACGCGUUAAGUAUGCCGCCUGGGGAGUACGGUCGCAAGGCNAAACUCAAAUGAAUUGACGG
rnacentral:rRNA from 1 species